AACUAGGAUGUUGGCUCAGAAGCAGCCAUACAUUCAAAGAGUGCGUAAUAGCUCACUAGUCGAGAGGUCCUGCGCCGAAAAUGUCCGGGGCUGAAACACGACACCGAAGCUUAGGAAUGUAGUAAUACAUUGGUAGAGGAGCAUUGUUAGCGCAGCGAAGCUGUACCGAUAAGGAGCAGUGGAGUGCUAAGAAGAGAGAAUGCCGGAAUGAGUAGCGAGAGGAAGGUGAGAAUCCUUCCGGCCGAAUAUCCAAGGUUUCCAGAGUAAAGCUGAUCUGCUCUGGGUAAGUCGGGGCCUAAGGCGAGGUCGAAAGACGUAGUCGAUGGAUAACAGGUGGAGAUUCCUGUACUAUGUGUACCCAGAAAUGUGGGGACGCAUGUGGAGAGCACGAGCCGGGAAAGAGAAGACCGGUACAAGCGGGGUAGGAGUAAGGACAGCAAAUCUUCCUUACAAUCCGAAGACGUAAUGUGGACCGAACCAAAGUAGGGAAGCGUGUGAGCCAUGUGCCAAGAAAAGCCGCUAUAGUGAUACACAUACCCGUACCGUAAACCGACACAGGUGGAUGAGGAGAGAAUCCUAAGGCCGACGGAAGAAGCAUUGUUAAGGAACUCGGCAAAAUGACCCCGUAACUUCGGGAGAAGGGGUGCCUGCGAGAGCAGGCCGCAGAGAAUAGGCUCAAGCAACUGUUUAGCAAAAACACAGGUCUAUGCGAAACCGAAAGGUGAGGUAUAUGGGCUGACGCCUGCCCGGUGCUGGAAGGUUAAGAGGAGAGGUUAGCGCAAGCGAAGCUUUGAAUUUAAGCCCCAGUAAACGGCGGCCGUAACUAUAACGGUCCUAAGGUAGCGAAAUUCCUUGUCGGGUAAGUUCCGACCCGCACGAAAGGCGUAAUGAUUUGAGCACUGUCUCGACAAUGCAUCCGGUGAAAUUGAAGUACCAGUGAAGAUGCUGGUUACCUGCGCCAGGACGGAAAGACCCCAUGGAGCUUUACUCCAGCUUGAUACUGGGAUUCGAUACUGUAUGUACAGGAUAGGUGGGAGACGUUGAGCAUAGAACGCCAGUUUUAUGUGAGUCGCUGUUGGGAUACCACCCUUGCAGUAUUGGAUUUCUAACCUGCACCCAUGACCUGGGUGGGGGACAAUGUCUGGCGGGGAGUUUGACUGGGGCGGUCGCCUCCGAAAGGGUAUCGGAGGCGCUCAAAGGUUCCCUCAGAAUGGUUGGAAACCAUUCGAAGAGUGCAAAGGCAGAAGGGAGCUUGACUGCGACACCGACGGGUGGAGCAGGUACGAAAGUAGGACUUAGUGAUCCGGUGGUAUAAAGUGGGAUUGCCAUCGCUCAACGGAUAAAAGCUACCCUGGGGAUAACAGGCUUAUCACUCCCAAGAGUUCACAUCGACGGAGUGGUUUGGCACCUCGAUGUCGGCUCAUCGCAUCCUGGGGCUGUAGUAGGUCCCAAGGGUUGGGCUGUUCGCCCAUUAAAGCGGUACGCGAGCUGGGUUCAGAACGUCGUGAGACAGUUCGGUCCCUAUCCGGCGCGGGCGGAGGAUAUUUGAGAGGAGCUGUCCUUAGUACGAGAGGACCGGGAUGGACGGACCACUGGUGUAUCUGUUGGCUAUCAGAGCCAUGGCAGAGUAGCCAAGUCCGGCAGGGAUAAACGCUGAAGGCAUCUAAGCGUGAAGCCCCCCUCAAGAUGAGAUAUCCCUCAGAAAUGAGUAAGACCCCUUGA
rnacentral:rRNA from 1 species